rnacentral:rRNA from 1 species
UAAGGGCGCACGGUGGAUGCCUUGGCACUAGAAGCCGAUGAAGGACGUUACUAACGACGAUAUGCUUUGGGGAGCUGUAAGUAAGCUUUGAUCCAGAGAUUUCCGAAUGGGGAAACCCAGCAUGAGUUAUGUCAUGUUAUCGAUAUGUGAAUACAUAGCAUAUCAGAAGGCACACCCGGAGAACUGAAACAUCUUAGUACCCGGAGGAAGAGAAAGAAAAUUCGAUUCCCUUAGUAGCGGCGAGCGAAACGGGAAGAGCCCAAACCAACAAGCUUGCUUGUUGGGGUUGUAGGACACUCUAUACGGAGUUACAAAGGACGACAUUAGACGAAUCAUCUGGAAAGAUGAAUCAAAGAAGGUAAUAAUCCUGUAGUCGAAAAUGUUGUCUCUCUUGAGUGGAUCCUGAGUACGACGGAGCACGUGAAAUUCCGUCGGAAUCUGGGAGGACCAUCUCCUAAGGCUAAAUACUCUCUAGUGACCGAUAGUGAACCAGUACCGUGAGGGAAAGGUGAAAAGCACCCCGGAAGGGGAGUGAAAUAGAACCUGAAACCGUGUGCUUACAAGUAGUCAGAGCCCGUUAAUGGGUGAUGGCGUGCCUUUUGUAGAAUGAACCGGCGAGUUACGAUUUGAUGCAAGGUUAAGCAGUAAAUGUGGAGCCGUAGCGAAAGCGAGUCUGAAUAGGGCGUUUAGUAUUUGGUCGUAGACCCGAAACCAGGUGAUCUACCCUUGGUCAGGUUGAAGUUCAGGUAACACUGAAUGGAGGACCGAACCGACUUACGUUGAAAAGUGAGCGGAUGAACUGAGGGUAGCGGAGAAAUUCCAAUCGAACCUGGAGAUAGCUGGUUCUCUCCGAAAUAGCUUUAGGGCUAGCCUCAAGUGAUGAUUAUUGGAGGUAGAGCACUGUUUGGACGAGGGGCCCCUCUCGGGUUACCGAAUUCAGACAAACUCCGAAUGCCAAUUAAUUUAACUUGGGAGUCAGAACAUGGGUGAUAAGGUCCGUGUUCGAAAGGGAAACAGCCCAGACCACCAGCUAAGGUCCCAAAAUAUAUGUUAAGUGGAAAAGGAUGUGGCGUUGCCCAGACAACUAGGAUGUUGGCUUAGAAGCAGCCAUCAUUUAAAGAGUGCGUAAUAGCUCACUAGUCGAGUGACACUGCGCCGAAAAUGUACCGGGGCUAAACAUGUUACCGA